UACGUAGGUGGCAAGCGUUGUCCGGAUUUACUGGGCGUAAAGAGCGCGCAGGCGGUCGUUCAAGUCGAGUGUGAAAGCCCCCGGCUCAACUGGGGAGGGUCACUCGACACUGAUCGACUCGAAGGCAGAAGAGGGAAGCGGAAUUCCCGGUGUAGUGGUGAAAUGCGUAGAUAUCGGGAGGAACACCAGUGGCGAAGGCGGCUUUCUGGUCUGCUCUUGACGCUGAGGCGCGAAAGCUAGGGUAGCAAACAGG
rnacentral:rRNA from 1 species